rnacentral:lncRNA from 1 species
AAGUGGAGUAACAUGGUUGUUGAGAAGCUCGUGGCCCCCUAGGCCUGGGCCUCACUGUCUUUACUCCUCCAUACUACAAGAGUGAUGAGGAAGGGGAUGAGGCAGAUGGGGGCUAUGAUCAUGGCCAGGAGUACAUCCUCUGGGGGGUCAGAGAAGGUGGGCUGCACCAGGGAGCAGUUGGCAAAGUGGAUCUGGUGAGUCUCAAAGAUGAUCCUCUCUGCCAAGGGAUUGGGGAAGCCCAGGUCAAACAACUCUGCAAAGUGCUCCAGGCAAUCUCGCAGGGUGCUAUAAGGCCUAGGGGCAGAAGAGGACUUGAGUGAGAGAGGGGGUGGACCCAGGGAGAAGAGUGCCCCACUCUCACUCAGGGUCUACCUGCAAUGAGCAGGUCCACCCCCUGGCCUGAGCCACCCUCCAUCACUGCCCCUACCUGCUAAUCAUGGCCCAGUCGCACCAAUCCUUUUCGAUAGGAUCCAUUUGAUCCUUAUAAUGAUUCCAGCAAAAUUGGACAGCUGUCUCAUAGUUCUUCACCGUCCCCCCUGUAGGUACAGAUGCUACACAAUGACCACACCCCUACCCCUCCCUACAAACCCUCCUGCCCAGGUGCUUGCAAGGUGAACUGCCUGUCUUCAAACGUGGGAACCCUUCAGAAAGUUUCCCUAGCAAAACAUUCUGGCUGAGGACAGAGUCCCAGCUCAGGAAUCCUAUAAUGACUUCCAUGUGCUAAGCACUUUCCAUCCCAGCCUGAUAAGAACUUCCACGUACACCUUUUCCUGGGGUCUUCUCGCCCACUUGUGAGGUGGGCAGCUCAGAGCCGUGCAGGGGCUUUGUAGGAGGACAGGGAGAAAGACCACGAGGAACCCCAAGAAAGAACAGAGGGGAGUGUAGUGGGGCAUCAGCUGGGGUUGGGCAGGCCUCGUGGGAAAGGAACCCUCCCCACUGAACUUGCUCUCGUCCUUACCCUCGGCCACCCUUCCACACCCUGGGUACCCACCUUCUGACCCUGGUGUGCCUGUGGUGGGAAGAGGCUGAGCCAGGGCCUCGUGGGGAUUCAGGACAGCUGUGGGAAGAAACGGGAGAGGAGGGUAACAUAGCGGGGACCCCGGCAGUGGAGCCUGCGAGGGGGGUUGGGGGACUGAGACCCUCCGAAAAUAGGCUACCUUGGAAGAAAAGGAGGAAUAAUCUAGCCCCCACGGACGCCUCAGUGCCGGGGAGGGAGGGGCUGGCACCAGCUCCUUGUCACUCACACCCAGGCCCAAAGCCCCCUCAUCUCUGGCCAGCUUCCGUCCUCCUAAGCCCUCUUCGAGGGGCCGGGGCCAGCACCCCAGCUUUCCCUGGGUGGGAAGCAGCUCAUGCUGCGCCCGCCCCGAGGUGGGGUCAGGGACCGUCCGAGGGCCAGUGCUGCUAGGUACGUCGGUCCUAACCCGCACCCCAGGGCCCGUUCCGGCCUCGGCCAUCCAGCCCCUCUCCCCUCUCCCCUCUCCCCUCCGGGGCCUCUCGCGCCUCCCGCCCGGGCCUCGGGGCGCCGCGCUCACCGCCCAGCAGGAGGAGGAGGCGGAGCGCUGCCGGCCGCCCGACUCGGGUCCUAGGGAGACGCGGGCCGCCGGCGCGCUCCACCCGGAGCGAGGCCAUCGUGCAGCAAGGAGGCGAGGAGCGGCGGCGGCGCUGAGCCGGGCCCGGGUGUGGGGGCGCCUAUAUCCCCAGCCCAAGCUGCAGGAAGCCGCGCCGCUUCCUCGGAGGGGCUGGGACGGCGGCGGCCACGUGGGGGGCGGGGGCGACGCUCGGGGCCCGCGGCUGGAGGGGGAGUCGCUGCCUCACCCGCGCCUGGCGCCCGCGGCUCCCUCCGCCUCGCCGGCGUUGGCCCACCCUCUCGUAGCUCACCCCGCGAGGCUGGACAGCUCCCGGAACCCCGGAACCGGGAUCUAUUUCGGGGGCUCGGCUGCGUGGCGCCCAGGACUCUCCAGGGUCUCCCAGGAUCGCUCCCCGAAUUCGAGUCGCCCCCUCUCUCUUUCGGGAAUACCAGCUGAUGUCAGUCCGCCAGCCAAAACCAGGGAGGAGAAGCGGGAGCCAGCCCUCUGGAGUCGGGAGAAGAAGGUGCCACAGCUCUUCAGGACCACGGUUGGGAGAAAGAAUGGAGGGGUUUUAGAACCUUCAGUGUGCGACUUCAUGUGCCAGUCUUCAUCUCAGGAUCUCAAGCUCUUGGAUCAUGGGCACGGAUAACCUGUUGUCCUCCUCUAUGGUCAAGAGGCUGCUUUUGCAAAGAAUCCAGUGGGAGAGAGUCAAUGGCCUGCUUGACGUGAACUCCAAAGUCCUCCUGAUCAGAAUACCAAUUUCUUACUGGGUCUGGAAAGGAGGAGAGAAGGAUAGAGAGUUUCUUCUAGGACCAAAUUGAUUCCUCCACAAAUAGGAAGAUCCCCAGACUGUGUGCACACACCCUCCUCCUCCUUCCUUCUCCAACCCUGGCUGGACCAUGACAUCACAUGGUGGAGGCUGUUUUUUAAAAAGAACUCAGGCCAGAUUUACAAGAAUGAUGCUCAGGCAGCGUGACUGUCAAGGACCGUGGCCAAGUGACCCAUAGCACACACCCAGCAGUGCUGAGAACAUAGCUAGUCCCUUAGCACCUGGGGCUGACUCAUGGUUGCUGUAGGACCCAAUGCCAGAUGCCAGGAUUGCUUUCUCCCUCCAUUCAUUAGGACUGUCCCAUGAAACCCUCCCCAGGAACCCUUCUACCCCAUCCCGGCAUGCCAGGAGCCUGGAUACUGCAUAACACAGGGUACUCAUAUUUGUUUACCAAGCCUUGAAGAUGACAGGCAAUAUGCUGAUAUGCUCAAUGCAUCAUACAAAUUGUUUUAUUUAAAACUGAACUAUUAAAUUAAGUAUCAUAGCAACUCACUUUACAGACAAGGAAACUGAAGCUCAAAGGUUAAGUAAGGGCCAGGCAUGGUGGCUCACUCCUGUAAUCCCAGCAGUUUGGGAGGCUGAGGUGGGAGGAGGAUUGCUUAAGCCCGCGAGUUUGAGACCAGCCUAGGCAAUAUAGGGAGACCCCAUCUCUACAAAAAAUUAUCUGGGCCUGGUGAUGUGUGCCUGUAGUCCCAGCUACUUGAGAGGCUGAGGUGGGAGGAUUGCUUGAGCCCAGAAGUUGAGGCUGCAGUGAGCCAUGAUCAUGCCAUUGUACUCCAGCCUGGGCAGCAAAGCAAAACCCUGUAUUGAAAACAAACAAACAGGCUGGGCACGGUGGCUCACACCUGUAAUCCCAACACUUUGGGAGGCCGAGGCAGGUGGAUCACCUGAGGUCAGGAGUUAGAGACCAGCCUGGCCAACAUGGUGAAACCCGCCUCUACUGAAAAUACAAAAAUUAGCAGGGCAUUGUGGCACAUGCCAAGGUGGGCAGAUCACCUGAGGUCAGGAGUUCGAGACCAGCCUGGCCAACAUGGUGAAACCCCAUCUCUACUAAAAAUACAAAAAUUAGCUGGGCGUGGUGGUGGGCGCCUGUAGUCCCAGCUACUCAGGAGGCUGAGGCAGGAGAAUCGCUUGAACCUGGGAGGUGGAGGUUGCAGUAAGCCAAGAUAGUGCCACUGCACUCCAGCCUGGGCGACAGACAAAAAAAAAAAAAAAAAGAAGUUGGAGCAGUGUGAAGAAGAGGUGAGAACAACCCCCGGACUGAUCAAAGCCCACAUGCCACUGCAUCCCGCGUCCAGCGCCUACAUCCUGCCACCGUCGCUGCCACCACCAUGCCCAAGAGAAAGGCUAAAGGGGAUGCUAAAGGAGACAAAGCCAAGGUGAAGGACGAACCAUAGAGAAGAUCCACAAGGUUGUCUGCUAAACCUGCUCCUCCAAAGCCACAGCCCAAGCCUAAAAAGGCCCCUGCAAAGAAGGGAGAGAAGAUACCCAAAGGGAAAAAGGGAAAAGCUGAUGCUGGCAAGGAGGGGAAUAACCCUGCAGAAAAUGGAGAUGCCAAAACAGACCAGGCACAGAAAGCUGAAGGUGCUGGAGUUGCCAAGUGAAGUGUGUGCAUUUUUGAUAACUGUGUACUUCUGGUGACUGUACAAUUUCAAAUACUAUUUUUUAUCAAGUUUUAUAAAAAUGCAGAAUUUUGUUUUACUUUUUUUUUAAGCUAUGUUGUUAACACACAGAACACUUCAUUGUUGUUUUUUGGGGAAGGGGCAUAUGUCACUAGUAGAAUGUCUCCAAAGCUGGAUUGAUGUGGGGAAAACACAUUUCCCUUCCAGUUUUGAAAGAUUUCCUCUUGGCUCCCAGGAGGAGGGAUUCCCUGACUUUGACACACAUGGCCACCUUGGCACAAAAGCCUUGUGGUAUGGAAAAACAAAUUCGUUUUUAUGUCCUCUUCUCCCUUUCCAUCCUUCAGCAUAGACUUAACUCCCUUAAGCCCAGACAUCUGUUGGGACCUGACCUCUAGUCAUUGGUUACCAGUGUGUCAGGCAAUCUGGAUUUUCCAGUGAUGCCGCUGAGAUGGCACCUGUCAAAAGAGUAGUGGUUCCAUUUCUAGAUUGUGGAUAUUCAGAUAAAUUCUGCCAUUUUCAUUUCACUUCAUGAAAGUCAGGUUCAGCCUGUGAAAAGUUGUUAAACAACAUGCUAAAUGUGAAAUGUCAACCCUCACUCUAAACUUUCCCUGUUCAGAGCAUCAGAUGAAGACUUCAGUGGCUUUCUGAUUUUUGGUAGUCCAUUGAAGAAGGGAGUUUGAAAGUUGUUGUAUACUGUUAACGAUUGUCUGCCCAUGUCCUGCCUGAAAUGCCAUGAUUGUUUAUGGAACGUAUCUUUAAUAAAGCUGGAUACAGCUUGAAAAAAAAAGAAGUCAACUUGCUACAGAGAAUUGAAUAGGAAAGAAUGAGGAAGAUUGGCUAGAAGGGCAACCUGACAGGGCCCCUCAGGGCACACAGGUCUUUCCCCACUCAGUACUGUCCCUCUCCUGAUUAUGCUUACUUUGUCUAUAGACAGUACCUUUUCACAUUCUUUCCUGCAAGACACAUUAACACAUUAGAUGGACAAUGAAAAAAAAAUACAUUAUUUUCUAGAUGAUAAGCAAGGAUCCAACAUAUGUUAAGCAAACAUGACACUAGUAACAUAUGGGUGUUUAACACAUGGGUGUGAUGUCUGUAAUGUGAGCAUAAGUAAUGUUACAAAAGGCAAUAUUUUCCUCAUCUGUAAAAUGGGGGUGAUAAUAAUAUCUGUAAGUUACAAGGUAUAAAGCACUUAAAGCACAACUUGGCCCAUAGUUAAUACUACAUUAUUCUUACUACUGCCUUAGUGCUUAAGAGCACACACUUUGGAGUCAAGUAAACCUGGGUUUGCAUCCCAGCUCCAUCGCUUAUUUGGCUGUAUCAGACUUUGUGCGACUGGGCAUGGUGGCUCACACCUGUAAUCCCAGCACUUUGGGAGGCUGAGCCAGGCGGAUUACCUGAGGUGAGGAGUUCAAGACCAGCCUGGCCAAUGUGGUAAAACCCUGUCUCUACUAAAAAUACAAAAAAUUAGCCAGGUGCAGUGGCACACACCUGUAAUCCCAGCUACUUGGGAGGCUGAGGCAGAAUUGCUUGAACCUGGGAGACGGAGGUUGCGGUGAGCCAAGAUUGCACCACUACACUCCAGCUUGGGCGACACAGCAAGACUUCGUCUAAAAAAAAAAAAAAGACUGUGUAAGUUACUUAACUCCUCUGAGCUUGUCAUCUUAUCUGCAAAAUGGGAUCACUAGCGUGUAUCUCGCUGAGCGGUACAGAUGAACUAUGUAAAGCAUUUGGCCCAAUGCCUGGCACUGCUAAGCAUGCAAUAAAUGGAAGUUACUAUCAUAAUGUGUAACACAUAUAAUUAUGACAAUUAUAUUUCCAAGAUAUUCUGGGAUCUUUACAGUUUCAUAAUUUUGCUCUUUUUACUAUACAACACUCCUUUUAUUGAAACAAAUACAGAUUUUGGAGUCAGACAGACCUAGUCUGGAUUUGAAUUCCAGCUCUCCUUCUUACCAGCCUGGGGCCAUGGAGAAUGUUGUCCAUUUCCCUGAGCCUCAGUGUUCUUCUCUGUAAAAUGUGGAUGAUACCUGACUCCCAGGCAUUUUGCCAGGAUUACAUGGGAUUCCUACACAGUGCAAUGUCUAGUGAUAAUAUAAAUACUAAAAGCAACUUGUUAAAUGUAUAAAUAAAUGUGAUUUAUUUUUGCUCCUUUACAUACAGUAUCAUGGAUAUAAUUUGUAGAUGUGUGUACUGUGAAUACAAU